rnacentral:tRNA from 2 species
GGAGAGGUGGCCGAGUGGUUGAAGGCGCUUUCCUGCUAAGAAAGAGCGGUUUAACAAACCGUCGAGGGUUCAAAUCCCUCUCUCUCCG